ACCAAGGGCGCGCGGUGGAUGCCUAGGCUCUCGGAGGCGAUNNNNNNNNNNCUCGGAGGCGAAGAAGGACGCGAUAAGCCGCGAUAGUCCACGGCGAGGUGCAAGUAACCCUUGACCCGUGGGUUUCCGAAUGGGGCAACCCGGCCGUCUAGAUGACGGUCAUGCAUUAUCAUGCAGGCGAACGCGGGGAACUGAAACAUCUCAUUACCCGCAGGAGAAGAAAACAAAUAGUGAUUCCCCCAGUAGUGGCGAGCGAACGGGGAAGAGCCCAAACCGCUGCCGUUUCGGCGACAGCGGGGUCAUGGGACCGCGAUACUCGACGGAAGACGAAGUGCAAUUACCUGGAAAGGUAAGCCGUGGAGGGUGACAGCCCCGUGCACGACACCUCUUUCGAAGAUAGCGGGAUCCCGAGUAGGGCGGGACACGAGAAAUCCUGCCUGAAUUCGCCAGGACCGCCUGGCAAGGCUAAAUACUCCCGAGAGACCGAUAGUGAACCAGUACCGCGAGG
rnacentral:rRNA from 1 species